UAGCUCUUGACAUACUACAGAAUUUGACAGAGAUGUUGAAGUGCCUUCGGGAGCUGUAAUACAGGUGCUGCACGGCUGUCGUCAGCUCGUGUCGUGAGAUGUUGGGUUAAGUCCCGCAACGAGCGCAACCCUCGUCCUUAGUUACUAACGGUUCGGCCGAGGACUCUAAGGAGACUGCCUUCGUAAGGAGGAGGAAGGUGAGGACGACGUCAAGUCAUCAUGGCCCUUACGGCUAGGGCAACACACGUGCUACAAUGGCCAGGACAGUGAGACGCGAUACCGCGAGGUGGAGCAAAUCUAUAAACCUAAUCUCAGUUCGGAUAGCAGUCUGCAACUCGACUGCUUGAAGCUGGAAUCACUAGUAAUCGUAGAUCAGCAAUGCUACGGUGAAUACGUUCCCGGGCCU
rnacentral:rRNA from 1 species